rnacentral:rRNA from 1 species
GGCCAGACUCCUACGGGAGGCAGCAGUGGGGAAUUUUGCGCAAUGGGGGAAACCCUGACGCAGCAACGCCGCGUGCGGGACGAAGGCCCUCGGGUCGUAAACCGCUUUCAGCAGGGAAGACCACGACGGUACCUGCAGAAGAAGCUCCGGCUAACUACGUGCCAGCAGCCGCGGUAAUACGUAGGGGGCAAGCGUUAUCCGGAUUUACUGGGUGUAAAGGGAGCGUAGACGGAAAGGCAAGUCAGAAGUGAAAGCCCAAGGCUCAACCAUGGGACUGCUUUUGAAACUGUCAAACUGGAGUGUGUGAGAGGAUAGUGGAAUUCCAGGUGUAGGAGUGAAAUCCGUAGAUAUCUGGAGGAACAUCAGUGGCGAAGGCGACUAUCUGGCACAUAACUGACGCUGAGGAGCGAAAGCGUGGGUAGCAAACAGGAUUAGAUCCCCUCGUA